rnacentral:rRNA from 1 species
UAGGGAAUCUUGCGCAAUGGGCGAAAGCCUGACGCAGCCAUGCCGCGUGAAUGAUGAAGGUCUUAGGAUUGUAAAAUUCUUUCACCGGGGAAGAUAAUGACGGUACCCGGAGAAGAAGCCCCGGCUAACUUCGUGCCAGCAGCCGCGGUAAUACGAAGGGGGCUAGCGUUGCUCGGAAUUACUGGGCGUAAAGGGCGCGUAGGCGGAUAUUUAAGUUGGGGGUGAAAGCCCGGGGCUCAACCUCGGAAUAGCCUUCAAUACUGGAUAUCUUGAGUUCGGGAGAGGUGAGUGGAAUGCCGAGUGUAGAGGUGAAAUUCGUAGAUAUUCGGCGGAACACCAGUGGCGAAGGCGACUCACUGGCCCGAUACUGACGCUGAGGCGCGAAAGCGUGGGGAGCAAACAGGAUUAGAUACCCUGGUAGUCCACGCCGUAAACGAUGAGUGCUAGUUGUCGGCAUGCAUGCAUGUCGGUGACGCAGCUAACGCAUUAAGCACUCCGCCUGGGGAGUACGGUCGCAAGAUUAAAAACUCAAAUGAAAUUGACGGGGGUCAUAGCUGUUUCCUG